rnacentral:rRNA from 1 species
AGAGUUUGAGUCCUGGCUCAGGAUGAACGCUAGCUACAGGCUUAACACAUGCAAGUCGAGGGGCAGUCGACUGGGGUGGCAACGACCCCUGGUGGCGACCGGCGCACGGGUGAGUAACGCGUAUCCAACUUCCCCUUAGUAGGGGAUAGCCCGGCGAAAGUCGGAUUAAUACCCUAUGUUAUCCGACGAGGACAUCUGAAUUGGAUCAAAGAUUGAUCGCUAAGGGAUGGGGAUGCGUCCGAUUAGGCAGCAGGCGGGGUGACGGCCCACCUGGCCUACGAUCGGUAGGGGUUCUGAGAGGAAGGUCCCCCACAUUGGUACUGAGACACGGACCAAACUCCUACGGGAGGCAGCAGUGAGGAAUAUUGGUCAAUGGGCGCGAGCCUGAACCAGCCAAGUAGCGUGCAGGAUGACGGCCCUACGGGUUGUAAACUGCUUUUGCCGGGGAAUAAAGUGCCCUACGCGUAGGGUUUUGUAUGUACCCGGAGAAUAAGGACCGGCUAAUUCCGUGCC